AUUGAACGCUGGCGGCAGGCCUAACACAUGCAAGUCGCACGAGUGGCGGACGGGUGAGUAAUGUCUGGGAAACUGCCCGAUGGAGGGGGAUAACUACUGGAAACGGUAGCUAAUACCGCAUACAUUCGGAUGUGCCCCGAGGGGAUUAGCUAGUAGGUGGGGUAACGGCUCACCUAGGCGACGAUCCCUAGCUGGUCUGAGAGGAUGACCAGCCACACGGGAAAGGAGACACGGUCCAGACUCCUACGGGAGGAAGCAGUGGGGAAUAUGGCACAAUGGGCGAAAGCCUGAUGCAGCCAUGCCGCGUGUAUUAAGAAGGCCUUCGGGUUGUAAAGUACUUUCAGCGAGGAGGCGUUACCCGCAGAAGAAGCACCGGCUAACUCCGUGCCAGCAGCCGCGGUAAUAC
rnacentral:rRNA from 1 species